GCAGGCUUUUGAGACACACAUUAGGAGAGGACUCUGCCCGCUGUCUGUCUCACAAUCUGCUCGAAAUAUCUUGGUCAGGAAUCUCAGGAUGUCUAGUGACCCCGAGUGAGGUGCUGCCUUUUAUUCCUGAGCAUCUUUGGAAGCAGGAAGCAGGGAGCAACGGUAGCGAGAGGUAUUCGGAUCUGAGUAUCAGCAGGAAGAAGAAACAGAGGAAGAAGUCCCCCAUAAGGAAGGCGUGAGGAGCGCAGGAAGCGCUGUUUCCCUGCCUGAGAUCUUUAUUCUACUAGGUCUUUAUUCUACGUAGCCGAUACGCUGUAAAAUUCUGGAAGAGAAGGCUAGGGGUUUAAGGUUGGUAAUCUCUCAGAAGAUCUGCGUCUCGGUGACGGAAAGAACUAAGGGUAAGUGCUGAGAAGCCUCUCUUUACAGCCAGAGAACGAGCCAGAGCCGAGCUUGAGAAUGACGGGAUAGAUCUAGCAGUUAUGCCCAAGGAAGACCCUCGGCCCUUUGAAUUUGAAGGCACUGAAAAUCGUAUAAAUGUUUUCAUAUAAACAUACUCACAGAUGGAAUUCUAAACUGGUAGCAGACCCUGAAGGACAAUGUCACCAUCAGAACCACCAACAAGGACAAACUGUCCCUCUCCUGCAUCACCCUGCAUACCAUCUGCAUCCACAAAAAUGCUCAUUCUUCAACAAGCCUCCUAUUUCUUUUGGGUGACUGGGAACACUGCCCAGCACCUCCAUCACAUGCUUUAGCGCUUCCCACCCUAACUUAGGGUCCCAUAUGCCUCCUGUUUCUUCUUGACCAGUGACCUGCCA
rnacentral:lncRNA from 1 species